UAAAUUAAAACCAAAAAGAGGUAUAUUACUGUUAAUAAUAUUAUUGAACUAUUAUAGUUCUAAUAA
rnacentral:tRNA from 1 species